rnacentral:rRNA from 1 species
GAUCAUGGCUCAGGAUGAACGCUAGCGGCAGGCUUAACACAUGCAAGUCGAGGGGUAUAGUUCUUCGGAAUUAGAGACCGGCGCACGGUGCGUAACGCGUAUGCAAUCUACCUUCACAAAGGGAUAGCCCAGAGAAAAUUUGGAUUAAUACCUUAUAGUAAUACGACUUGGCAUCAAGAUGUAUUUAAAGAUUUAUCGGUGAAAGAUGAGCAUGCGUCCCAUUAGCUUGUUGGUAAGGUAACGGCUUACCAAGGCAACGAUGGGUAGGGGGUCCUGAGAGGGAGAUCCCCCACACUGGUACUGAGACACGGACCAGACUCCUACGGGAGGCAGCAGUGAGGAAUAUUGGACAAUGGGCGCAAGCCUGAUCCAGCCAUGCCGCGUGCAGGCUGACGGUCCUAUGGAUUGUAAACUGCUUUUGUACAGGAAGAAACCCUUUCACGUGUGGAAGAUUGACGGUACUGUAAGAAUAAGGAUCGGCUAACUCCGUG